rfam:Stegodyphus mimosarum contig13402, whole genome shotgun sequence.
GCCUUCAUGGUGUAUCGAUAGCACACUCGGCCCGUAUUCGAGAGGUCCAAGUUCGAGUCCCGGCGAGGGCA